UACGUAGGGUGCAAGCGUUGUCCGGAAUCAUUGGGCGUAAAGCGCGUGUAGGCGGCUUGGCAAGUCGGUUGUGAAAGCCCGGGGCCCAACCCCGGAACUGCAUCUGAAACUGCCUGGCUAGAGUCCCGGAGAGGAAGGCAGAAUUCCCGGUGUAGGGGUGAAAUCCGUAGAUAUCGGGAGGAAUACCAGCGGCGAAGGCGGCCUUCUGGACGGUGACUGACGCUGAGACGCGAAAGCGUGGGGAGCAAACAGG
rnacentral:rRNA from 1 species